rnacentral:rRNA from 1 species
UACGAAGGGGGCUAGCGUUGUUCGGAAUUACUGGGCGUAAAGCGCACGUAGGCGGAUUUGCCAGUCAGGGGUGAAAUCCCGGGGCUCAACCUCGGAACUGCCUCUGAUACAGCAAGUCUUGAGUCCGGAAGAGGUGGGUGGAAUUCCUAGUGUAGAGGUGAAAUUCGUAGAUAUUAGGAAGAACACCAGUGGCGAAGGCGGCCCACUGGUCCGGUACUGACGCUGAGGUGCGAAAGCGUGGGGAGCAAACAGG